rnacentral:rRNA from 1 species
UGAGGAAUCUUGCGCAAUGGGGGCAACCCUGACGCAGCAACGCCGCGUGAGUGAGGAAGGUCUUCGGAUCGUAAAGCUCUGUCAGUUGGGAAGAAACACCUGAAGGUUAAUACCCUUCAGGCCUGACGGUACCAACAGAGGAAGCACCGGCUAACUCCGUGCCAGCAGCCGCGGUAAUACGGAGGGUGCGAGCGUUAAUCGGAAUCACUGGGCGUAAAGCGCACGUAGGCGGUGUCGUAAGUCGGAUGUGAAAGCCCUCGGCUCAACCGGGGAACUGCAUUCGAUACUGCGAUGCUUGAGUGCCGGAGAGGGUGGCGGAAUUCCAGGUGUAGGAGUGAAAUCCGUAGAUAUCUGGAGGAACACCAGUGGCGAAGGCGGCCUACUGUGCUCUAACUGACGCUGAGGCUCGAAAGUGUGGGGAGCAAACA